ensembl:lncRNA
CUACUGUGGAAAAUCUACUCCUUCCCGGAAGGAGAUCGCGGCAGUUUUGUCGCUGUUAAAUGAGCUGGGGGAGCUGGACUCUCCCCGCUACGUUUUGGAUUCGAGUAGGUGGGACUUGCUCACCUCGGUGCUAUGCCAGCGCGCCAUGGCCAGUCAGAAGGCUACGGAACUUAAAACGUGGGGACUGAUAUUAGGAGCCCUUAAAGCGGCCAGAGUUGAGGGAAAGGUAUUGGCAGAGGCUCGAUACCUUUUGGGUCUCAGCGGAGGAGAAAUUCUUCGUUGGCAGACCGAAGCCAACUCCAGAACAACUGAGGGACAGACGAUGGGAUCAAGAACCACUCGUCAAGAGGAGCACUACACCUGCAACGCUGACACUUCCGAUGUUGCUGAUAUUUAUGGUGUCCAUGGCGAUUACAGAGUGUCACAAAC